CAUUUUAACUUUAGGAAAGUAAUUGGGAUUUCAUCGACUUCUUUCACGUUUUCCUCAUCUCUUAAGCUCAUACCCAGACCCAUUUUCCUUCACUCCAAAACUCACAUGUAGAAGCAGAGAUGAAAUCAAUAGAAGAAUUAAGUGUAGAUUAAGCUCGAAGAUCAUUCAAAGCUCCAAGCUCAAAGCUCUCCAAGUGAACCUCACGCCUCUCUCCAAGCAGAUAUUUUCAAAGUAAAGGAGUAUAAUCGAGAAGGUUUGCUUGCCAAUCUACCAAAAAAUUGAGAAUACGUUUGAAACAAAGAAACAAGAAUUAUUAGCUUCUCAAAGUGCAUCAGCUGCUGAAGGAGAAACUAACAUAGCUGGUCAACCUUCUCAAUUAACACAAAUGAUAAUCUGGGUUCAAUCUGUUGGUGGAAGGAAAAAAAGAAGAGUUAAAGGUCUUGGCUCGCUGGGUCGAUCUGUAAAGGCAUCUUCCAAAACAAUCAACAUCAUCUUUAUCAAGGGAAAUUGAUGAGAUGAUUAAAGCUCAGGUAAAUGCUUCCAUUGUUGACUAAUAUGCUCAAUUGCAGAAAGAGAGUCACAAAAUAAGAGGAUGAGGAGGGAAUUGGACUUAUUUAAGAAGCACAUAUACAACACAUCAUCUUCAAAUGAGCAAUAAUCUCAAGAAGACAAUCAAGCUUAUGAGGAUGAAAGUGGUGAUGACUCUGAUAGCGUGAAUGAUAGUGGUUCUGCCCAUGACUCUGAUAGCGUGAAUGAAAGUGAGGAUUGAGAUAGUUGAUAGUGCUAUUUAGGAUUCAAAUUUUAGUUGUUUUUGUUUUUGUCCAUUUGAAUCAUAAACUAUUGAUCCUGCGGGUUUCUUUUCAUACAAAUUAUAAAUUAUGAAUAAAGUUUUUUGUUGAAUGAAAGUGAUAUAACAUGAGUUAUAUUUUUUGUUA